rnacentral:rRNA from 1 species
AGGACGAACGCUGGCGGCGUGCUUAACACAUGCAAGUCGAGCGAGGCGCCUCCUUCGGGAGGAUGCCCUAGCGGCGAACGGGUGAGUAACACGUGGGCAACCUGCCCCUAGCACUGGGAUAACCCCGGGAAACCGGGGCUAAUACCGGAUACGACUUCGGAAGGCAUCUUCUGAAGUGGAAAAGGUUACUGGCUAGGGAUGGGCCCGCGGCCUAUCAGCUUGUUGGUGGGGUAAUGGCCCACCAAGGCGACGACGGGUAGCCGGCCUGAGAGGGCGACCGGCCACACUGGGACUGAGACACGGCCCAGACUCCUACGGGAGGCAGCAGUGGGGAAUAUUGCACAAUGGGCGAAAGCCUGAUGCAGCGACGCCGCGUGAGGGAUGGACGGCCUUCGGGUUGUAAACCUCUUUCAGCAGGGACGAAGCGAAAGUGACGGUACCUGCAGAAGAAGCACCGGCCAACUACGCGCCAGCAGCCGC